rnacentral:rRNA from 1 species
UACGUAGGGCGCAAGCGUUGUCCGGAAUUAUUGGGCGUAAAGAGCUCGUAGGCGGUUUGUCGCGUCUGCUGUGAAAUCCCGAGGCUCAACCUCGGGCUUGCAGUGGGUACGGGCAGACUAGAGUGCGGUAGGGGGAGACUGGAAUUCCUGGUGUAGCGGUGGAAUGCGCAGAUAUCAGGAGGAACACCGAUGGCGAAGGCAGGUCUCUGGGCCGCAACUGACGCUGAGGAGCGAAAGCAUGGGGGAGCAAACAGG